AGAGUUUGAUUCUGGCUCAGAACGAACGCUGGCGGCGUGGAUAAGACAUGCAAGUCGUACGCUGGUAUGCGGGUAGCAAUAUUUGCAUAUUGGAGUGGCGAACGGGUGAGUAACACGUGGGUAAUUUAUCUUUGAGUUAGGGAUAAUUCGCUGAAAGGCGGACUAAUACCGAAUGUGGAUACUGGGUGGGGACAUCUGGUUUCUAAAGUUGGGGACCGAGAGGCCUGGCGCUCACAGGUAAGCCCGCGUCCUAUCAGCUGGUUGGUGAGGUAAGAGCUUACCAAGGCUAUGACGGGUAGCUGGUCUGAGAGGACGAUCAGCCACACUGGAACUGAGACACGGUCCAGACACCUACGGGUGGCAGCAGUCGAGAAUCUUUCUCAAUGGGGGCAACCCUGAAGGAGCGACGCCGCGUGGGGGAUGAAGGGCUUCGGCUCGUAAACCCCUGUCAUUUGUGAGCAGGUGUGAUUGUUUAAGAGAUGGUUACAUAGAUAGUAGCAAAAGAGGAAGGGACGGCUAACUCUGUGCCAGCAGCCGCGGUAAUACAGAGGUCCCAAGCGUUGUUCGGAAUCACUGGGCGUAAAGGGUGCGUAGGCGGUAGUGUAAGACUUAGGUGAAAUCUCCAUGCUUAACGUGGAGCUCGCCUGGGAGACUGCAUUACUUGAGGAUUGGAGGGGAGACUGGAAUUCUUGGAGUAGCAGUGAAAUGCGUAGAUAUCAAGAGGAAGACCAGUGGCGAAGGCGAGUCUCUGGACAAUACCUGACGCUGAGGCACGAAGGCCAGGGGAUCAAACGGGAUUAGAUACCCCGGUAGUCCUGGCAGUAAACGGUGCACACUUGCUGUGUGAGGGAUCGACCCCUUACGUGGCGAAGCCAACGCAUUAAGUGUGCCGCCUGGGGAGUACGGUCGCAAGACUAAAACUCAAAGAAAUUGACGGGGGCCUGCACAAGCGGUGGAGUAUGUGGCUUAAUUCGAUGCAACGCGAAGAACCUUACCUGGCCUUGACAUGCAGAUAGUAGAAGGGUGAAAGCCCGCCGAGUGAGCAAUCACAGUCUGCACAGGUGCUGCAUGGCUGUCGUCAGCUCGUGUCGUGAGAUGUUGGGUUAA
rnacentral:rRNA from 1 species